UUUACUGCAGUGAAAAUUCUUGCAACUAUGAGGUUUCUGUUGCAACUUUCCUUGUAGCUAUGAGAUUAAUCAAACUCCUGGUGAUUAAAUCAUGGACAAUGGCCAUUGCUUCUUCGGUGUUACCGACUCGCUUUUGAUUAACAACCUCUCUUUUUUAAUAACUCAAUUUCACUAAGUAACGCUUCUUUGUCAAAAGUCUGAGAAAACAUAUCGCACAAAGUUUCUGAAUUGACUGUUGUGGUUUGAUUUGAUUUUUUGCAGGGCUAAGAUUGUCACAGGAAAUAUUUGUAUAUCAGUAUCCUUGAAGCAGUCUGCAAGCCAUUUUUUUUUGUGUGACGGCAAGUCGUUGCUGUUUUGCCAUUCUGCAGCUUGUGGCAAGAAUUCCAUUUUAACUAUUAUGCAAAAACUUAAUUUCAACUGGUGUUUGAAUGUUCCUUAGUUCCAAACAUUUCCCGAUGUCCUUGUUUUCAGAAGUUUGGUUUGGAUUUUUGUUUUCAGUUUUGAUGUUUUACUACCUUAGGUGGUGAUGCUGUUAAUGGACUGUGGAUUUUGGCGGUUUUCAAGUCCAUCACAUUAGAGGUCAUGGCGUUGCUAUAUCUCUUCAAAUGUUCCGUCUUGUGCCGCCCUGUCAUGGU
rnacentral:lncRNA from 1 species